CCGAACGUAAUAUCGCCUGGUCAUCACCGCGACGGGAGACAGGAAGCCGGUGCGAAUCCGGCACGGUCCCGCCACUGUGACCGGGGAGUGCACCCUUCGACAUGCCACUGCGCACGCGCGCGGGAAGGCCGGGGGAACGUCGAUCCGGGAGUCAGGACACUGGCCUGUCGCGGGCCCGUUCC
rnacentral:ncRNA from 1 species